GCCGCUAAAAUCCAUAUAAACUAUUGAAAUAAUGAGAUAUUAUCGGUCGAUUUCGUAAUGAUGGGGUCAGAGGUUCGAAUCCUCUAAGCGGCACCA
rnacentral:tRNA from 1 species